UCUGAUCUCUGCUUGGACAUCUCCAGUGGCAGAGAAAUCACUCUCCCAAAGCAGUGCAUCCCAUCUCUGCAUGGCUCUGACUGUGCACAGCUCACAGCUCUGUCAUGAUGAAAAACUUUCUCCUACUCUUUGAAUCUGCCCAUCAAGUGAGAAUUAUCACCCUAAAGAGGAGAAUAAAUGAUUAACCAUGGAGUCAACCAUGGGGCUUUUUCCGCCUGCAUGUUUGCAGAUUGCUUAAUUACUUCAUUGGGCUUUGGAACUCGUACAUUACAGAUACAUGAUCAUCCAAGUCAUUACCUGCAUAUUUUCCCAUUAAGAAUAAUUAUAGCUCUUACCACCACUGCCCAUGUACUUACGUCCUGCAGGCCUGGGCACACUGAAGUAAUCAUCUUUUGAAAAUGAUCUUGAUGGGCAAGU